rnacentral:rRNA from 1 species
UGGGGGAAUUUUGGACAAUGGGGGAAACCCUGAUCCAGCCAUCCCGCGUGUGCGAUGAAGGCCUUCGGGUUGUAAAGCACUUUUUGGCAGGAAAGAAACGUCGCGGGUUAAUACCCCGCGAAACUGACGGUACCUGCAGAAUAAGCACCGGCUAACUACGUGCCAGCAGCCGCGGUAAUACGUAGGGUGCAAGCGUUAAUCGGAAUUACUGGGCGUAAAGCGUGCGCAGGCGGUUCGGAAAGAAAGAUGUGAAAUCCCAGAGCUUAACUUUGGAACUGCAUUUUUAACUACCGGGCUAGAGUGUGUCAGAGGGAGGUGGAAUUCCGCGUGUAGCAGUGAAAUGCGUAGAUAUGCGGAGGAACACCGAUGGCGAAGGCAGCCUCUGGGAUAACACUGACGCUCAUGCACGAAAGCGUGGGGAGCAAACAGGAUUAGAUACCCUGGUAGUCCACGCCCUAAACGAUGUCAACUAGCCGUUGGGGCCUUUCGGGCCUUGGUAGCGCAGCUAACGCGUGAAGUUGACCGCCUGGGGAGUACGGUCGCAAGAUUAAAACUUAAAGGAAUUG